GUUGAACGCUGGCGGCUUGCCUCAUACAUGCAAGUUGAGCGAACAGACCAGGAGCUUGCUCCUCUGCCGUUAGCGGCGGACGGGUGAGUAACUCGUGGUUCACCCUCCUCUAGGACUGGGAUAACUUCGGGGAACGGGUGCUAAUACCGGAUAAUAUCUUGUGUGGCUUGUUUCAAUAGUGUUAUGCACUUUUCCUGUCGUUUCUAGACGGAUCCGAGCGGCAUUAUCUAGUUGGUAUGGUAACGGUAUACCAAGUCAACGAUGCGUAUCCGUCCUGAUAGGGUGAUCGGCCACACUGGAACUGAGACAGGGUCCAGACUCCUACGGGAGGCCGCAGUAGGGAAUCUUCCGCAAUGGGCGAAAGCCUGACGGAGCAACGCCGCGUGAGUGAUGAAGGUCUUAGGAUCGUAAAACUCUGUUAUUAGGGAAGAAAAAAUGUGUAAGUAACUAUGCACGUCUUGACGGUACCUAGUCAGAAAGCCACGGCUAACUACGUG
rnacentral:rRNA from 1 species